UGAUGACCGGCCAUACUGCAUCAACAUCCCGGUCAAGAGAGAGACCAGAACCCCGGAUGAUACAGGUAGAACAAUGCUACUGUUGGUGUUGUACAUUCAGAAUCAGGCCUAGUCUCUUGUAAAUGACUUGUAUUCCACAAUGUUCUUUCAUUCACAAUUUCACAACAGAAUCCGAUGUAGAGUAAACGGCUACAUGUAACAGUCAACUAACCAGUUGGACAAUAACAACUUGAACUCCUCCCUUCCGUUCAAAUGUCCUAUCUUGUCACAUUUCCCUUUCCUGUAGAAAAGACCAAGCUGGAGCUUUGCAUUGAGAAAGCCAGCGCUGACAUAAUGAAGGAACUCCUCACCCCACUUGAGAAGGAACCCGAACCCUUCUGGAAGACGGCAAUGAUGGAGGAGGAACAUAAUAAAAAGAAGAAGGGCUGGUUCUGGGGUUUGUUUGGCCGUAAGAAACAAACAGCGAAAGAAGUGUGGAUGGAGGAUUGUCGCAGGCGCGGAUACUAGAAAUCACAUCCACACAAACCAAGCGUAUGGACGCACACACAUUUACACAGAGACAGAUAUAACAACAAGGCCUACCUCAGAUCCCAAACAGACAACAUAUGUUGCCUGUCUAAUACUAUGUCUUAUUUUCCAUUUUUCUCUGAACUUUUAUUUGAAAAAUAAACACUUUAUUUGAAGUAUUUUGUGUGACUUUGUUUUCUAAAGACGUGUCUUUUAUGACUUUAUUUCUGAUAUAUAUAUUUUACAUUCCAUAUAGAGGAGCCUGAUGCUCAAUGUAACCAAUAACCAUCCAUUGUAUUGUUUUAUGGUGUAGCCUGAUAAUCUGUGUUUUCAGUUGUUGUUUUUGAUUAGAUAAACACAUUUACUUUGCUGAAAAUACAGUAUGUUUUGAAUUUUGGGCUUUUGGAAUAAUUUAUACAGUAGACUAUUCAAAUUGAUUGGUUAAUUAACA
rnacentral:lncRNA from 13 species